rnacentral:rRNA from 1 species
UGGUGAAGCCAUAUCACCCUGCAGCCCAAGACUGGUUGCCCACUGAAGCUAAAGAGGGGUGAGCCUGGCAGUACCUGGAUGGGAGACCUCCUGGGAAAACUAGGUUGCUGUUGGAA